CCGUGCAAUGGAUCAGGAAUUAGGAUCGCUCGGUAUGGCAUCCGACGUACCAGGACAUGCUAUUGCUAGAGGAAUGAAUUCCUUCCCUUUGGGUUAUUAAAAGCAGAUUCAACUGCUCAUCCAAGUUGACGAACUGAAUUCUGAAGAAAAGGGGAAAAGUUGAUGAAGAACGGGUCGCUGUCGUUCUCCAACGCACUUGCCGAAAUGCCAAACGGAAAAACUAACAUGAGCUGAGUGCAUAUAUAGGAUUUUAUGGGGCAGCUGCAAAUGGGGAAGUGAAACUGGUUUUCAGUUAAGAUGAACAGUGGAUAAUUAAAGCAGCGAAUUCAAACA